GACUAAAGGACUGAAUUCAGUCCAACGGUUGUGUCAAUUCCUCUCAUGCCCCUUCAGCUCUCCAGGAAACUUGGCAAGUGCAUCAGGACCCUCUUCAGAGCCCCUCCCACCUCCUUCCUUCUCGGGGGUACUUCUGCUCAGCUGGGCCUCUUAGCCAAUUAACACUCUUUGCAUCUGAAAAGCUCAAAUCAGCUCCUCAGAGGUGUGGGAGAUCAGGAGUAAUUAAGGCCUCUUUCUAAUGUAAAUCUAACCCUGAAGUAGGACUCUUGUCUCCUGGGGAAAUUUGGGUCUGGGGCUUUAGGGGAGCUGGGGAGAUGAGGGAGGUUAUGAUGACUUCAAGAGUAUCAGCCAGUUUGGUUGGAUGCUUUCCAGAAACAUGAGGUUCUAUUAAAUCAAAGCUGAUUCCACAGGGCAAAGGGAGUGAGAGUCUUCAAAGACAAUACACCUGGAUCUGUCAAUCACCUGGCUGGGAAAGCUGAUUAACUUGAAGACAAGCUAAGGAGAUGGGAAGAAUAAUUAUCCUCUCAGUGAGAUAAUGUACAUACAUACACCUCCGCCAUCCCCAGGGAACUCUCUGCCAGGACAGUUGCUUACAGAUCUUCACUGCUAAAUUGGCUCUUGUAGGGCCCAACCAUGACAAGCUCAAAGAGUUUCAAUUUGCCUUGGAGCAAUACCUGACUCCAGGAGAGACCACAAGCUGGGACCACCUGGGCACCACCCAGGAAUGGAUUUCCGAGGGAAAUUCCUAACUUUCCAACCAUUGUAGAUAGGAUCACCUGAUGUCCCUUAGCCUAAGCACACACCCAUUGGCUUUCACCAAGACACCCUUUAGACAAACGUCAGCCAAUCAGGAUCUUGAAGCCUGAAAGUGCCCUCAUCCCCAACCUCUACUAAGACAAACCCUACCCACCUGGACUGGGCCCUCUGCUCUCAACCGCUGCGGUGCACAGAUGGAGAGUCCAAGCUCGGGCUUACUUGAAUAAAGGCUCUUUGCUUUU